rfam:Arabis alpina cultivar Pajares chromosome 4, whole genome shotgun sequence.
AUUCCAUGGUGAGGACAGUUUCUGGUGUAACCCUUUAGAUGUUCCCGAGCAUCCGUGAGAGAUUCAUGACUGUCUUGCCUAAUGGAGUUGAUAUCACUUCUAAACUU